CGUGAGUGUGCUAGUGUUAGGGGGUUUCCGCCCCUUAUGCUGCAGCUAACGCAUUAAGCACUCCGCCUGGGGAGUACGACCGCAAGGUUGAAACUCAAAGGAAUUGACGGGGGCCCGCACAAGCGGUGGAACAUGUGGUUUAAUUCGAAGCAACGCGAAAAACCUUACCAGGUCUUGACAUCCCAAUGACCUUCCAAAAAAUAGAAUUUUCCCUUCAGGGACAUUGGAGACGUGCGGCGCGGGUGUCUCCUCCUCUCGUGUCGAGAUAUGGGGGUAAAUCUCCCGCCAAGAGCGCCCCUUGUAUUUAUUUUUGCCAUCAUUUAUUUGGGCUCUCAAAGGAGACUGCCGGAGACAAAACGGAGGAGAGGGGGGAAGACCUCCAAUCCUCGUGCCCCUUAUGACCUGGGCUACACACGUGCUACUGUGGACGAUACAGAGAGUCCCAAACUCGCGAGGGAAACCUUAUCUCAUAAAAUCGUUCUCAUUUCAGAUUGUACGCUGCAACUCGCCUGCAUGAAGCCGGAAUCGCUAGUAAUCGCAGAUCAGCGUGCCGCGGUGAAUACGUUCCUGGGCCUUGUACACACCGCCCGUCACACCAGGAGAGUUUGUAACACCCGAAGUCUGUGGGAUAACCGUAAGAGAGCCACCCGCCUAAUGUGGGAUAGAUGAGAGGGGUGACACCGACAAAAAAAAACACAAA
rnacentral:rRNA from 1 species